GUGAAGAGAUGAAAAUAAUGAAACUGUAUGGUGCAGAAAGUGUUUUUUUCAUUGUAGUUUCUGCUGCUGGGAAAGUGGUAGAUCACUAUGGCUUCUGUACCGUGAAAUGAAGCUUAUGAUAAAUAAAAUUCUGCUGCUUGCUGGUCACUGAUUGAAGAUCGUUCAGUGGCUACCAUUGGCCAAUCUCACCUACGGGAUAUAAUAAGAACUGAUGCAGGUUUAUAUCUAUAUGUAUUGUCUAUUCGAAACAAAGUUAGUACGCUUUUUAAACCGAUGUUGGAUUUUUCUCCAGAUACAGGCAACCCACUUAACUUUGGAAGUAGUGCGCUGGAUUCGUCUAAAGAUAUGCUAAACAACCGGAGGAAAAUAAAAUAAUUUGUAAAACAAUUAAUUGUAUUGUAUUUUUAUUGUAAUAUUGGAGUAUAAUGUAUUCUAAAUCCUGUUGUAUUUCUAUUGUAAAACAAUAGAAACAGUAAUUGAAAACAUUUAAAACACAAUGUUUUCUAUUGUUUUGUCGUUCGAAAUCAUCCCAUUGAAG